UUCAAGGUAAUGGUUUUAUAGCCCAAUAGGGCUAGUGUACAACAGCAUUCAAUGUACACUAGCAAACUUGGGUCCGAACCACAAGUACCAUUUUGAGUGGUUUAUUUGUGAAACUAAUACAUGGAAUAGCUGUAAAA